rnacentral:rRNA from 1 species
GUUGUAUGGUUAAGUGACUAAGCGUACACGGUGGAUGCCUUGGCAGUCAGAGGCGAUGAAAGACGUAGUAACUUGCGAUAAGCCCAGAUUAGGUAGUAACAACCAUUUGAGUCUGGGAUUUCUGAAUGGGGAAACCCACGUGCAUAAGCACGUAUCAUUAACUGAAUACAUAGGUUAAUGAGGCGAACCGGGGGAACUGAAACAUCUAAGUACCCCGAGGAAGAGAAAUCAACCGAGAUUCCGAAAGUAGCGGCGAGCGAAAUUGGAUUAGCCCUUAAGCGUUUUAUGCGUCAGGUGAAACUUCUGGAAAGUUGUGCGACACAGGGUGAUAGCCCCGUAACCGGCAACGCAUAUUAGGUGAAAACGAGUAGGGCGGGACACGUGUUAUCCUGUCUGAAUAUGGGGGGACCAUCCUCCAAGGCUAAAUACUACUGACUGACCGAUAGUGAACCAGUACCGUGAGGGAAAGGCGAAAAGAACCCCUGUGAGGGGAGUGAAAUAGAACCUGAAACCGUGUACGUACAAGCAGUAGGAGCGGGCAUUGCGUCCCGUGACUGCGUACCUUUUGUAUAAUGGGUCAGCGACUUAAUUUUAGUAGCAAGGUUAACCGUUUAGGGGAGCCGUAGGGAAACCGAGUCUUAACUGGGCGUAUAGUUGCUAGAAUUAGWCCCGAAACCAGGUGAUCUAGCCAUG